rnacentral:rRNA from 1 species
UACAGAGGGGGCAAGCGUUUGUUCGGAAUUACUGGGCGUAAAGGGCGCGUAGGUGGCCAACUAAGUCAGACGUGAAAUCCCCAGGCUCAACUUGGGAACUGCGUCUGAUACUGGAUGGCUUGAAUUCGGGAGAGGGAUGCAGAAUUCCAGGUGUAGCGGUGAAAUGCGUAGAUAUCUGGAGGAAUACCGGUGGCGAAGGCGGCAUCCUGGACCGAUAUUGACACUGAUGAGCGAAAGCUAGGGGAGCAAACGGG